rnacentral:misc_RNA from 1 species
UUUAGACAAAAAUUUGGCACUGAUGCAUAUGAACAGCUGGAUGUGAUUGGUAUUGAUGAAGCACAAUUUUUUGAAGACCUAUACGAUUUUUGUCGUGAAGCUGCUGAUCAUGAUGGGAAAACUCUAAUAGUUGCUGGUCUGGAUGGUGACUAUUUGAGGAGGAGUUUUGGUUCCGUCCUUGAUAUAAUUCCCCUAGCUGAUUCUGUAACUAAGUUGACUGCACGGUGUGAACUUUGUGGAAAACGGGCCAUCUUUACCUUGAGAAAGACACAGGAGACACGGAUAGAACUUAUUGGUGGGGCUGAUGUGUACAUGCCUGUAUGUCGACAGCAUUAUGUCAGUGGACAAGUAGUUGUUGAAGCUGCNNNNNGAAUCUCAGAAGGCUGAAUGUGGCUCUCACAUGUUUGUACCAGAUUCUUCUUACUAGGAUG